rnacentral:pre_miRNA from 1 species
CAAAUACUCCCUCCGUCCGGAAAUACUUGUCAUCAAAAUGGAUAAAAGGAAAUGUAUCUAGACAUAUUUAGUUUUAGAUACAUCUAUUUUUAUCCAUUUUGAUGACAAGUAUUUUCAGACGGAGGGAGUAGAAA